AAUGCGUAGAUAUCAAGAAGAACACCGGUAGCGUAGGCGGCUUCCUGGUUCGUAACUGACACUGAGGCGCGAAAGUGUGGGGAGCAAACAGGAUUAGAUACCCUGGGUAGUCCACACCGUAAACGAUGGAUACUAGGUGUUGGGUUUCACGACUCAGUGCCGAAGUUAACGCAUUAAGUAUCCCGCCUGGGGAGUACGAUCGCAAGGUUGAAACUCAAAGGAAUUGACGGGGGCCCGCACAAGCGGUGGAGCAUGUGGUUUAAUUCGAUGCAACGCGAAGAACCUUACCGGGGUUUGAAAUGCAGUUGCUCUCCGUUGAAAGACGGAUUUCCUUCGGGACAACUGUACAGGUGCUGCAUGGCAUGUCGUCAGACUCGUGCACGUGAGNGUGUUCGGGUUAACGUCCCGCAACGAGCGCAACCCUUGUCCUUAGUUGCUAUCAGGUCAAGCUGAGAACUCUAAGGAGACUGCCUCGGAUAACGAGGGGGAAGGUGGGGAUGACGUCAAGUCCUCAUGGCCCUUACAUCCCGGGCUACACACGUGCUACAAUGGCCAGUACAACGGGAAGCGAUACCGUGAGGUGGAGCAAAUCCCUUAAAACUGGUCUCAGUUCGGAUUGUAGUCUGCAACUCGACUACAUGAAGUUGGAAUCGCUAGUAAUCGCGGAUCAGCAUGCCGCGGUGAAUACGUUCCCGGGCCUUGUACACACCGCUCUUCACGCCAUGGGAGUUGAUAGCACCCGAAGUCGCCGGGCUAACAUUUCGGGGAGGCAGUGCCGAAGGUGAGAUCA
rnacentral:rRNA from 1 species